AUUGAACGCUGGCGGCAGGCCUAACACAUGCAAGUCGAACGAGUGGCGGACGGGUGAGAAUGUCUGGGAAACUGCCUGAUGGAGGGGGAUAACUACUGGAAACGGUAGCUAAUACCGCCUACCAUCGGAUGUGCCCCGAUGGGAGUAGCUAUUAGGUGGGGUAAAGGCUCACCUCGGCUACGAUCCCUAGCUGGUCUUAGAGGAUGACCAGCCACACUGGAACUGAGACACGGUCCAGACGCCUACGUGAGGCAGCAGUGGGGAAUAUUGCACAAUGGGCGCAAGCCUGAUGCAGCCAUGCCGCGUGUAUGAAGAAGGCCUUCGGGUUGUAAAGUACUUGCAGCGGGGAGGCGUUACCCGCAGAAGAAGCACCGGCUAACUCCGUGCCAGCAGCCGCGGUAAUUC
rnacentral:rRNA from 1 species